GAAUAUUAUACAUUUCAUGGGAGAGGGAUACAUUUGUUAUGAAUGGGGGUUGUCAUGGCAAUCAAACAAUAUAAAUAUAUGCCUCAUACAUCAUACAAGUAGGCAACAAUCAAACAAUAAGAUAUUUAAACAAGUAUAUGAUCAAAUCAAAUAAUCAAAGAAAUGAAAUGAAUGAGCAUUAAACAACGUAUGGGUGUAAGUGUAAGGGAACCGGCUCAUUGUAAGAAAGCCCAAGAGUAAGCUAUGUGAGGUUGAUGGCGAUGCUUAAAAAGCAAUCGACUUACAAGGGGCGUAAAAAAUGGGCUCGAUAUUAAAUCAAGAAAAGUGUGAUUUUUAUAGUUUGAAAAAAAAGGUUUUUGAACUAAAUUCAAAUACAAUAACUACGCAUUAUUAACACAUGAAAUUAUAAUAAGCAUAAAAAGAGAUAUUAACAAAAUACUACAAGAAUAAAAAAAUGCUAAAGGAAAAUAAAAUCAAAUAAAAAGCAAAAAGUGUCACACAUGAGUAUUGAACCCUCCCCACCUAAUAUUAUGCAACUGCCCUCUCUCCACUAGGCCACUCAACAAUAUCUGCUAUUAAGAUACUACCCAAAAUAUAUGAACUGGAAUAAAAAUUUAAAAUAAAACAAAACAAAGAUUUCGUGGUUUUUAUAUUAUUUCUGUAAAAAAACAAAUUUAAUUUUAAAAAAAAAAUUAAUUAAUUAAAAAAAAACAGAAAGGAAAUGGAGAGUGAAGGCACAGAAGCUCGUCUUCUCCAAUCUUCCAAAACGUUCCUCUCUCUAGAGACAU
rnacentral:lncRNA from 1 species